rnacentral:sRNA from 1 species
UGAAGGUUUGCGUUAGGCCUAGGCCGCACU